GCUGACGGAGCUGCUGCAGGGCUUCACGGUGGAGGUGCUCCGGCACCAGCCCGCGGACCUGCUGGACUUCGCGCUGCAGCACUUCACGCGCCUGCAGCAGGAGAACGAGCGCAGGGGCGCCGCGCGCUUCGGCCACGAGGCCAGGACCUGGGGGGACGCGGGCGCCGCCGCCGGGGGAGGCACCCCCAGCAAGGGGGUCAACUUCGCCGAGGAGCCCGCGCGCACCGACUCGGAGGACGCCGAGGAGGAGGAGGAGGCCGCGGACGCCGGCGCGUUCAACGGCUCAGUUGCCCUUUGGCUUUUGCCCCAGCACCAGACAGACCUCCCGGGUCUCUGAGAUUCACAUUGCCAUGUCGGCCUACUUACCAGCCAUCUGACUUACAUGGUCUUCAGCUCCGGUAAUAAACCGAUUCACAAGGCGUGCCUCGGUAUAUCAUAUGGGAAAUCUCUAGAACAUGGGAUUUCACCGACUUGAGUUCAAACCACCUGUUUACUGUGUGAUUUUGCACGUAAGUCAUUUACCACAUUGAGUUUUACUUUCAUAUUUUCACUUUGUUUUGGUUUGGGAUCAUAAGAGCUGCAGUCAUGCUUGCUACAAUGGUUAAGCUAGAUGGUUUUUGUAAAGCGGAGUAGCUAGGCUCUCAAAAAUGUUAGUGGUCAGCUAUCUUCUGAACAUAGUGUAAAAGAAAAAACAAUAAAGGCUUCAGUGCUGUGCCGCA
rnacentral:lncRNA from 1 species